rnacentral:lncRNA from 1 species
AGGCCCUAUAUCAUUGAUGUUUCGUAAAUAUACAAAAGCUUUGAAAAUAAAAUAGUCUUAUUGCCUAUCAUUGCUAAGAAGCUAAAGAAUGAAAUCUACUUGUCUUCAAUUUCUUUAUAUACUUGUUUUAGACAUCUGCAUCUAGCUUCACGUUCAUGUAGGACAUCUAGUUGGUUUUUUACCAAACCCUCAUAUUUUGAAUUGUCAGUAAAAAAAGUUAAUCUGAACAGAUGAUACUCCAUAUUCUAAAAUUUUACACUCAGAUGUUGUUGAAUAGUUGUCUACAUAAGACUCAUCAGUGACGCUCAUAUCAAAAUAUUUAUAAAGCCGAACAAGUACAAAGUUGAAGAGCAUAAAUAAGUACGCAAGAGGAAAACUCAGGGCUUUACUGAAAACUACUAAAAUUGAAAAUGUUAAACAAGUGACUGUUUAUAGGUUAACUGCCUCUGUUCGUGCAGACACUCAUUUUAUUAUUUUGGAAAACAAGAAAAAAAUACAAAAGGAUCAUGCCCUUUGUUCAUUUUAUAUGGUAAUAUACAUAAUUAUAAAUUUAACUAUGUCACUUGAAGAUGAAAAAUUGCAGCAUGUAAAAAAAAAAUUAAAAAAAUACAGCUUACUCUCUUUAAUGGACCUUUUUUACUUAUAUCUUCUUGUAUUUCUUGUUUAAAUUUGUGUUGACAAUGUUAUUCGUCACUUGCAAGUCAGUAUGCCAUUAUAUCAUAUAAUGAGCACAAAAAAUAAGAGCAAUAUAUCAUUUUUUUAAGUGCAUGAAAUAUUUGCCACUGGACUCUAAUCAAACAACAAAUAAUCAAUGAAUGUUUCCAUUAGAACCGCUUCAAAGCUACUAUAAUUUCUGAAUUAAAAGUGUUACAUAUAUUUCAA